AAGUAUAUCUUACGUGAUGGUUUUUGGAAACCGUGUUGGGGAAACCCAUGACGUAAUGCCAGAUUUUUUCAGCGCUAUAUAAACAGCUCAGUACACAUUAUUCAUCAAACGUGCAGAUCCAUAGUGAUAAUUCAUAUUCAUAUACACAGAAAGCAACUGACGAAUUAAACAUGUGCAACGGCGAAAAGGCAGUAGCGGCGGCGAUGGCAGAGCGGCGUGGUCAGGGGACCAGCAGAGUUCCUAUUCACUUCCUGUUACGUCACUUCGGUGGCGUCUGUUGGAGUUAGGGAGCCAGACUGGAUUACACUAGGGUUUACCCUAGCAACCGAUGACGACAACUAUCAUCCACAGAAACCGAGUCAUCAAAACUUUGUCACGUGAUAGUCUGUCUUGUUGUUAUCAUGAUAACAACCAACAUGCAGUAGUUUUUAUAUAACAAAGUUGACAUGGUAUUUGUGUAAUGUAUAUUUAACAUGUAAACAGAUUAGUUUCAAAGUAUUGUUGUUGUCAUCAGUUUUUUAAUAAAUGUAUAUGCAUAUAAAAA